rnacentral:rRNA from 1 species
CGUUGCUCGGAAUCACUGGGCGUAAAGCGCACGUAGGCGGAUUGCUAAGUCAGGGGUGAAAUCCUGGAGCUCAACUCCAGAACUGCCUUUGAUACUGGUGAUCUUGAGUCCGGGAGAGGUGAGUGGAACUGCGAGUGUAGAGGUGAAAUUCGUAGAUAUUCGCAAGAACACCAGUGGCGAAGGCGGCUCACUGGCCCGGUACUGACGCUGAGGUGCGAAAGCGUGGGGAGCAAACAGG